rnacentral:lncRNA from 10 species
AUAAAAUAUAAAAUAAAAUAAAAUGAAAUAAAAUGAUGGAAUACAGGAUUAAAUCAUUAAGCUAAAAUACUAAGGAAACUAGGCCAACCAGGGACUAAUUUUUCUGUCCCAGGGCCUAUAUGAAUUUCUAAACUUUUGGUAACACAAAGAGACCAACAUGGAAAUAAAGGAUCUACUGGAGAAAGUAGAAGAAAAACCUUUCACUUUUAUACGUAUGUUAUGUAGAAGACUAACACCAUUAACUAUACUAAAUUACAAGCUGUAGAAUAUUACAUUGUUUCAACAUGUCUGGGCGUGUUUGGGAGACUGGAUUUGUGCCAAGACAAGCUCCUGAUAAUCCAAUGGCAGGCGAGGGUGGAAUUGUCAAUAAAACUAUAGAACUUUAAGUUCAAGCUGGAAUCUCUGCUACACACACAUACAUAGAAGCUGCUAUCAUACCAACAUUUAUUACAUCUUGUCAUAUUCUGACUGUAUGCACACAGGUAGAUGUUAUUAUAUCUAAAUAAAUGUGACCAGAACUAGUAACGGGGAGUUUGUUGAUUCUACUAUCAUCUUAAUUGUUAAUGUGAUGUAGGCUCUUGACAGAGAUUCAGGUUCUUGAGAGGGAAAGAUACCCUGAAGAUUUUUAAAUGUGUUUGUUUGUAACACUGUUAAAUGUUGUUAAAUGUUGUAUUUAAGCUUUACUGUCUUACUAAUUGAUACCCCAUUCUCAUAAAAGAGUAAAUGCCACUGGCAUUAUGAGUCCUAAGAUACAAGAAACACAGCCAUUCAAACAAUGCCCUGGUGAAAAGCUUAAAUUUAAAACAGACCUCAUUUAUCAGCGUCUCUCAUCAUUAUCAUGGUAAAUGUCUAAUGUGUGUAUGUGUAGUGAAUUCUUAUAAUUUCACGUUGCCUCAGAAUCCAUUUUGAAUAGAUAUUGAACUUUCUCAUAUCAGAAGCAGGGCUCAGUCUCCCUUGACACAAGUUCCAGUUCCCCACCUCCUCCCAGUUCCUCAGAGUGGUGGCUGAUCCAGGCAUCUGCUUUAUACAACUGCCUCCUGGUUACCACCUCCCUAUGGGAGGUAGAUACAGUACAAUCUACUUGGCUGCCCCCACAGACUCCCACACUCUGCAUGGCCUGCACAGAUAUGCUGCAGCAACCACCUCUUCCACCUCUCAGUCACAGUGUGACUCCAUGAACUUGUACCUACUUGCUCUAAACCCACCUGUUAGAAUUCCCCGACAAGUUCCUUGCUCUCGUGCUCUCCCUCUGUCUUUCUCUCUCUCCCUCCCUCCCUCUCUGGCUCCCCACCUGCUGGUUGAGCGUGCCUGCGUGUCCCAGAUGCCCCACCUCCUUCCUACCAGCCCUCUUCUCUCUGGGAUCUGUAAGUGAUACACUGCUUUUGUCAUGUCAUGUAUCUUGUUGGCACUGCUUCCCCUGUGUCUCAUCUGACCAACACAUCCUGAACUUGGCCCACCCCCUGGUCAGGGCUCUUCCAGAGAGUGGCUAUCUUGGUAGGAAUAAAUGACACGGGUCAGACAAGAGCCACUGGGUCAUCUUUCAAUGUGAGAGGGACACCUGGUCAUGGUUGGACACUUAGACAUUAGUCUGUCCACCAGGUAGACAUACUCUGUGAAAGGCACACUGUAAACACCCACAACCAUCUUCCCUGAGGCCCCAUCAGGAAAUAGGAAAGGCUCAACGUUAUAACAACUCUCCAGAGAGAAAUCUCAAGACCAAAUUAGAGGAAAAAAACAACUGUGUGUGUGUAUGUGUGUGUAAUCGUACAUUCUAUUGUAUACAUAUUUUUAUAUAAUACUAUAGCAUACUGGUAUAUGAAUUACAUGAUAAUAUUGUAAGAAUUGUAUCAUAGUAUAGGAAUUAUGAGUAGAAAAAGGUUAUUUAAAACUUUGCUUUCAAUCUAGAACAUCUAUGAAAUUUGAGGAUAUUGAAGUGAAAUUCUAUCACAAGGCCCACCUCCAUAAAUUUGCUAUGUUGCUGGUAUUGUUUAACUGAAAUGAGAAUGAUAUAAAGCAAUCGAUGGAGAUCAGGACACACUACCCCAAAAUAUGGCACCUUGGCAUUUGACAGAACAGCAGAGGCAGGAAGCUUACUCUAGUCUUUCCCACACUCCUGCUCCCAUAAAGCAGGCCAUAACACCAGGUUGACCUUCCCCUAUAGUAGGUCAUAAGACCUUCCUGUGAAAGGUACGAACUCUAUAAUUGGAGGAAAGGAAUGUCCUUAUCUCUGAAGAUGCAGGCAAACAGGCCUUGCUGUUUCCCCCAGUUUAUUACUGUUAGGUCAUAUUCCCUUUUGUCCAAUCAUCCUGCACAACUCUGCAGUUUUCAUCAAACCUAAACAUAAAAAAUACACGGCUUCCCUAUUUCUUUGGGUUUUCAUUUCCUUACAAAGGCUCCUGUGUCAUGUGAAACAUAUUAAAUAAAUUAGUAUGCUUAUUUCUUAUUAAUCUUUCUUUUGUUACAGGGGUCUCAGGCAUGAACCUGAGAUGAGAGAGAAAAGAGAUCUUUUCUCCCUACACAGUAACCCUAGCAGAGAGGACCAUAUUGUCCAGUGUCAUUCUUUCUGCUGUGUGGAACAAGGACCAAGGAA